GGAAAGAUAAUCCGAAAGAUUCAGGGUAGCGGAGACUGUUUUGAAAACAGUUUGCCCUAAUGGGUGUGUGGGUUCGAAUCCUACUCUUUCCG
rnacentral:tRNA from 2 species